UAGUGGCGGAUCGUUGAAGAACAAAUAAGAACCUACCUUUAGGAGGGGGACAACAACUGGAAACGGUUGCUAAUACCCUCUCUCGCUGAGGAGUGAAAGGAGUUUAUUCUCGCCUACCGAUGGGCUUGCGUCUGAGUAUCUUGUUGGUGAGGUAAAAGCUCACCAAGGCAACGAUUACUAGCUGGUCUGAUGGGAUGAUCAGCCCCACUGGGACUGAGACACGGCCCAGACUCCUACUGGAGGCAGCAGUGAGGAAUUUUCCGCAAUGGGCGAAAGCCUGACGGAGCAAUACCGAGUGGAGGAUGACAGCCCGUGGGUCGUAAACUCCUUUUCUCAGAAAAGAAAAAAUGACGGAGUCUGAGGAAUAAGCAUCCCUUAACUCCGUGCCAGCAGCCGCGGU
rnacentral:rRNA from 1 species